AAGGAAGUGGGAACUCCAGGAAAGAAAUGGCAAGUCUGAGAUGGAACGGAAAGGUAGAGGCCGAUGGACGAGAUGAGGACUUCAAUUGCCGGAAUGGUGAAAGAAUGCAUGCUAGCUGCUGUCGAGGCACUGGUAACAGACAACCAACUGACAGGACGGGUGAUAUCUUCAAUUAAGGCAAUCCCUCUGUCGGAUACAACAACUGCAAGAAUGGUGGAUGUUUUAGAGACAGACAUUUUCGAGAUAUCUUGGCUCUAAUACCGCCGGAAAGACACACAACAGGAGAAAUAAUCUCCCAAACAAUUCUUGCUUUUUUAUUUAUUUAUUUUUUUUAACGCGACGGACUGAACCUGGGGCUCGUUAACCUGCUUGUUACAGAUGGGACUCCCUCUAUGUCAGGAAAAACCAAAGGCCUGUCCGCACGACUGUCGAAAAAUUGAAAUCGCCCCACUGCCUCAUCCAUCAGUGUCCUCUGUGCACAAUUAAGUGGUGAGCUGGAAAACACCGUGGAUCAGAUCAACACCCAGUCUUCAACACAGACUGUUUCGUAAACUACUUGCUGAUAUGUCAGCUGAGCACAUUGACCUACUUUUACAUAACGAUGUGAGGUGGUUAAGUGAGUGGAAUGCCUGCAAGAGUCUGUGUGCUCAGAGAGGAAAUUAUCACUUUUCUUAGUCUUUCCUUGACUAAUACGCUGGAUGGGCAUUUUGUGCUGAGAUAUGCUUUCUAAGUGAUGCCUUUCAUCAUUUGAAUGUGCUUCAUGUGGGACUUCAAGGGGAGGGAUGAAACAGUUGUUGAUUUGGUUGAAAAGUUAACUGCUGCUUUGGAAAAGAAACUUGAUCACAUAGUGUCAAAGUCACGCAAGUAAUGUCAGAUUAUCUGAAUAACUUGAGGCACAACUUUGCACAGCGGUUUAAAAAGACUUUGAUAUUCCCAUAUAGUUGGAUUUUUGUUGUGAAUAACCCAUUCACCUGCGUACCACACAUUUCCCCCAGAGCAGGAGAGUUCCUCAAGUUACAUGACAUUGGAACUGGAGAUGAUUGAAAUACAAGCGUCAUGUGAACUGGAGGAUGCGCUUAAGGAAGAGGUCUUCUUACACAUGAAUGCCAUUAAAACAGGCAAUCGGGCCUCCUUAGCAGAAGAGCCUCUGUAUUGUUUGCUGAUCGCCCUCACCUCAUGUCAACACAAAGAAAAUCAGAAAGUGUGUGACGUUGUAUUUUUAUUAAACCUGAAGCUAGUUGUGCUUUUUUCACUUUCUUGCAUACAAAGCCAACUGGUGCUGUUGCUGUCAUUUAAGCUCGUCGUGUUUCUUUUUUAUUUUUUUUAUUUCUUGCACUUAA